UAAUACGGAGGAUCCGAGCGUUAUCCGGAUUUAUUGGGUUUAAAGGGAGCGUAGGCGGACUAUUAAGUCAGCUGUGAAAGUUUGCGGCUCAACCGUAAAAUUGCAGUUGAUACUGGUCGUCUUGAGUGCAGUAGAGGUAGGCGGAAUUCGUGGUGUAGCGGUGAAAUGCUUAGAUAUCACGAAGAACUCCGAUUGCGAAGGCAGCUUACUGGACUGUAACUGACGCUGAUGCUCGAAAGUGUGGGUAUCAAACAGGAUUAGAUACCCUGGUAGUCCACACAGUAAACGAUGAAUACUCGCUGUUUGCGAUAUACAGCAAGCGGCCAAGCGAAAGCAUUAAGUAUUCCACCUGGGGAGUACGCCGGCAACGGUG
rnacentral:rRNA from 1 species